GCCUACCUGAAAAGGACUUAUAAUUCAGAAAUAUAGGAAGUGAUCACUAGUAAGAUGUAGAUGACCAAAGACAACAGUUAAGGAAAAGCUGAUGUUAAGGACAUGGACAAUUCAUAGGGGUAAUGAAACUAUCAAACAUGGAGUCUAAGUGCACUUAGAAGGCGACCACAGAGCCUCACCUCCUGAAAUGUCUCCAUUCCAACUCAGAAGCUAUCUAAACUAAUACAUACUCCAAGACAAAGUUUCAGGACAGCAGGAAGCUUUAGAGAAAGCCACUGUUUGUCCAAUUCAAUAAUUAAUAGGAUUUUGCUGACCUCAGCAGACUACUCAGGCAAAGUAAAUAGGCAAAAAUCGUUUCUUCCUUUGAAACCAGGGAUUAACAAAGAAAACUCAGCCAAAUACUGGGCUUCAAACACCUGCUGAUGAAAUCUGUUUUAUCAUUGUCAUUGCCAAAGCUAGUCCCCAAUCACGGGUUUAUCAUAGUUGCUGAGAUCCUACUUAAGAAUUAAUACUGCAGAUUUACGGAAGAGAAACUUGAUCUCAUGUUUAGAAGUAGAGUUGAGGAGCCAAAUGCCUCAGUGAUCCAUCCUCUAAGACUAUUUACGAGCCCACACCAGCCGAAGGAGGAAGCCUAUGGAAGACAGUGUGCUACAGAAUCUCGGGGCUUGGGGACCGAGGACCAGUGGGCGGGAGCUCAUGAUGGCGUUGGAGAUUACCUGGCUUUGGUUUGAAUCCUAGCUCUCUAACUGGUGAAUCUGCGACUCGAGAUUUCACUACAUCCAAUUGAAGGCAGAAAGCUUACGGGUGUGAGCAUGCCGAGACAAACAAAAUCAUCCCUCCCUGCUUCUUCUGAAGGAGAAAAAUGAAACUCUUCUGAACUUCGCUGGUCACCAAGAAGAAUCACUUUAUCUCAAAGAGAUUUUUAAAAAUCAUUAUGUUAAAUAGGUUAAGUAAAGGACCAAAACUUCAAUUUCUGUAAACUUCAUUUUUCCAUGUUAUUAAUAAUUUCUGAAGUUAUUGUGAGCCUUAAAACCAGAAGGUCCUUUAGCAACUCUUGUUUCUGAUUAGGCUCAGCCCAGGAUUUGCUAGCUAGCACUUUUUACAAAGAAAUUGCUACCAGAGAAGAAAUGUUCUCAAAUCCAAUUUCCACAAGAGCCAGGUAAGUGAACAGGAAGACACUAUAAUCUCCAUUUAAAGGGUGUCUGUCAUCAGAAGUACCCACUGUAACAGAUGGAAGCCCUGACUGAAUUGGCUUCAGAAUCAUGUGAGAUGCUGCUGGUCUUAGGGAAAGAGUUCAAGAUUUAGAGUCUGGAAAUUUGGAUUUAAUUUCCGGCUUUGCCACUUACCAGUGACAUGACCUUGAAAGGGGGAAGCAGGAGCGCUGUGGACAGAAUUGUAUCCCCACCCCCACCCCAAAUUCAUAUAUUGAAGCCCUAACCCCAAUGUGAUGAUAUUUGGAGAUGGGACCUUUGGGAGAUAAUUAGAUUUAGAUAAAUUGCAG
rnacentral:lncRNA from 1 species